ensembl:lncRNA
CACUAAAAUUGCAUCUAAAUUCAUCUUUCUUUCAUUACCAGUGCAGUCCACUAUCAGCAUAUUUUGCAAGGAGUGCCUGCUUCUUGAAGGAUUAGAGGCAUUCACUCAUCAUCACUGGUUAGAUAGCAUCACCAACUCAAUGGACAUGAGUUUGAGCAAAACUCUUCUCAUGUUUGAGAGGAGACAGUGAAGGACAGGGAAGCCUACUGUGCAGUCCAUGGGAUCUCAAAGAGUCAGACAACAUAGAAACAACAGCAAUGACAAUUCAUCAUCAAGGCCCGGGUGGAGUCGGUCCUUUGCAAACACCCACGUGAGAGACAUUUACUGAGCACCUGCUAUGCCCGUGUCUUUUAAAAGACACCGGAGAUACUGUGGUGAACAGUCAGGUCCCUACCCAGGUCUAAUGAGAAAGAUGGUGUUGUAGAAGACUUUUUAGAGUCCCCUGGACGGCAAGGAGAUCCAACCAGUCCAUCCUAAAGGAAAGCAUUCCAGAAUAUUCAUUGGAAGGACUGAUCCUGAAGCUGAAACUCCAAUACUUUGGCCACCUCAUGUGAAGAGCUGACUAUUUGAAAAGACCCUGAUGCUAGGAAAGAUUGAAGGCGGGAGGAGAAGGGAACAACAGAGGAUGAGAUGAUUGGAUGGCAUCACCGACUCAAUGGGCAUGAGUUUGGGUAAACUGCAGGAGUUGGUGAUGGACAGGGAGGCCUGGCGUGCUGCAGUCCUUAGGGUAACAACUGAGUAACUGAAUUGAACUGAACUUCACAGAUGCCCUCAGGCCAGUUUAUACUUUGUAUUUUCAGACAAUAUUUCAAUCAGAGAUGAGUGGACAUAAAAAGGACAUUGAAAUAUAUAGGCCCACACACUUAAAGUUAUGAAUGACAAAACCAGGGCCACAGGGCUUAGUGAACCAUACAAAGCCACACAGACAAUUAGCGACAGAGCCUAAAAUAGAAUGAAGUCUUCUGGUCUUGCUCAGUUGCCUUCCCCUGUCUGUGCUGCUCUCUGAGGACACAUGCCUGGCACCUGUCAUCUCAAGAGAGAGGAUGAUGUUAAUAAUGAC